CCUUGCAUCGGGAUUUGGCAGAUUUCCGAGUUGGCCAUCCGGACCUCGUCCUCCUGCAGUACGUGGAUGAUUUGCUCCUGGCGGCUAGGACAGAACAGGAUUGUGUAAAAGAUCCUAGCUGAAGUCCAUGGCACCAGAGGGGACUUGACGGACCAGCCUUUGCCAGAUGCUGAAGCAACCUGGUACACCGAUGGGAGUAGCUUUCUACGAAAUGCAAAUAGGGGCAAAAUAUGACGAGCAAAUGAAGGUCUGGAAACACCAAGGGAAAACGGUCCUGCCCCAGAAAAGGGCCAAAGAACUGGUGACUCACCUCCACCGAUGGACUCACCUCGGACACAAAAAAUUAAAAGCACUCCUCCGGAGAGAAGGUCAGACCUAUUACAUUCCCAAACUCCCCUCCCUGAUCCAACAGGUAACCGACGCUUGUGUACCUUGUGCUAAGGUAAAUACCAAACACCUCAAGAUGCCUGAGGGAACCAGGAUGAGGGGAGAAAGACCCGGAACUAAUUGGGAAGUAGACUUCACCGAAAUCAAGCCAGGUAAAUAUGGUAACAAGUACCUCCUAGUGUUUGUAGAUACCUUUUCAGGCUGGACAGAAGCAUUCCCCACCAAGCGAGAAACCGCCCAGGUGGUUGUCAAGAAAAUCCUGGAAGAAAUUUUCCCCCGGUUUGGACUGCCCAAGGUAAUAGGGUCGGAC